rnacentral:misc_RNA from 1 species
ACAAUUCAUGAAAUUUUUACCAGCCACCAAACAUCACACCAAGAGUCUACUGUAAAAAUGGCAACCUAUUUGAAGCAAUGGAGCUACAGAUCCAAAAAUAACAAGCAAAUAAAUCUUCUCUUUUCUUAUUUAACAUGAUUUAAUUAGCAUACCAAGAAAAUAGUGAACAACAUAUAAGUUUUAUAUUUUUUCUUGAUGGAGUAUGACAACAUCUAACUAACAAAACAGGUUUCAUCAUUUUUGGAUUUUUAUAAAUAAAAUUAUGGAGAGAAGCAAGUUUGUUUAUUCUCUAAACCAGUUUUUAAAUAUAAAUUUCUACAGAAAAACUUUUCCACUGAAACAUUCCAACUUAGAUAUCCAUGGCAUAGAGAAUUUCACAAGGAUUCCAAAAAGUCCUCAUUUAACGUUUUACGAUUUUUCUACGAUUUUCUAUGAAUUUUCAAACUUCAGCACAAAAUCUGAGAUAUAAAACCGAAAAUGGGAACAACAAACUUUCACCCAGGUCCCUGAAACAAACGUGCCUACACAUCAGCACAUAUGCCCUUUCAGCACUAUUCACAAGAGUCACAAACCCUUCACUUACCCCCCUGCUGUUCUGGAAUUUGCAGAUUGGUCCAUCGUCUUCUUCCUUGGAACGUACAGGGAAAGGGGAUCGGCCUUUCCUGGCCGGGGCUCGCCGGCGUCGGCCGAGCGCGGCGGGGCCAGCCGAGCCGUCCCUGGUGGAGCGCGCGCACAGCCAAGGAGUUGGCUGGGCCGGCGGCAGCUCCAGG